GCAUAUCAAUAAGCGGAGGAAAAGAAACCAACAGGGAUUGCCUCAGUAACGGCGAGUGAAGCGGCAACAGCUCAAAUUUGAAAUCUGGCUCUCGGGCCCGAGUUGUAAUUUGUAGAGGAUGCUUUUGGUGCGGUGCCUUCCGAGUUCCCUGGAACGGGACGCCAUAGAGGGUGAGAGCCCCGUCUGGUUGGACGCCAAUCCUCUGUAAAGCUCCUUCGACGAGUCGAGUAGUUUGGGAAUGCUGCUCUAAAUGGGAGGUAUAUGUCUUCUAAAGCUAAAUACCGGCCAGAGACCGAUAGCGCACAAGUAGAGUGAUCGAAAGAUGAAAAGAACUUUGAAAAGAGAGUUAAAAAGUACGUGAAAUUGUUGAAAGGGAAGCGCUUGUGACCAGACUUGGGCUUGGUUGAUCAUCCAGGGUUCUCCCUGGUGCACUCUUCCGGCCCAGGCCAGCAUCAGUUCGCCCCGGGGGAAAAAGGCUUCGGGAAUGUGGCUCUCUCCGGGGAGUGUUAUAGCCCGCUGCGUAAUACCCUGUGGCGGACUGAGGUUCGCGCAUUCGCAAGGAUGCUGGCGUAAUGGUCAUCAGUGACCCGUCUUGAAACACGGACCAAGGAGUCGUCUUCGUAUGCGAGUGUUCGGGUGUCAAACCCCUACGCGAAAUGAAAGUGAACGCAGGUGAGAGCUUCGGCGCAUCAUCGACCGAUCCUGAUGUUUUCGGAUGGAUUUGAGUAAGAGCAUACGGGGCCGGACCCGAAAGAAGGUGAACUAUGCCUGUGUAGGGUGAAGCCAGAGGAAACUCUGGUGGAGGCUCGCAGCGGUUCUGACGUGCAAAUCGAUCGUCAAACAUGGGCAUGGGGGCGAAAGACUAAUCGAACCUUCUAGUAGCUGGUUUCCGCG
rnacentral:rRNA from 1 species